CGGUCGGUCUCGUUGGUGACAGCGGAGGGACAUUACAGAGUUAUCCAACUCCCAAACCCAUGUGAACAUAUCUCUUUGUUGCCUCGGCGCAAGCUACCCGGGACCUCGCGCCCCGGGCGGCCCGCCGGCGGACAAACCAAACUCUGUUAUCUUCGUUGAUUAUCUGAGUGUCUUAUUUAAUAAGUCAAAACUUUCAACAACGGAUCUCUUGGUUCUGGCAUCGAUGAAGAACGCAGCGAAAUGCGAUAAGUAAUGUGAAUUGCAGAAUUCAGUGAAUCAUCGAAUCUUUGAACGCACAUUGCGCCCAUUAGUAUUCUAGUGGGCAUGCCUGUUCGAGCGUCAUUUCAACCCCUAAGCACAGCUUAUUGUUGGGCGUCUACGUCUGUAGUGCCUCAAAGACAUUGGCGGAGCGGCAGCAGUCCUCUGAGCGUAGUAAUUCUUUAUCUCGCUCCUGUUAGGCGCUGCCCCCCCGGCCGUAAAACCCCCAAUUUUUUCUGGUUGACCUCGGAUCAGGUAGGAAUACCCGCUGAACUUAAGCAUAUCAUAGGCCGGAGGACC
rnacentral:rRNA from 1 species